rnacentral:rRNA from 1 species
GACGAACGCUGGCGGCGUGCUUAACAUAUGCAAGUCGAACGGAAAGGCCCUGCUUUUGUGGGGUGCUCGAGUGGCGAACGGGUGAGUAACACGUGAGUAACCUGCCCUUGACUUUGGGAUAACUUCAGGAAACUGGGGCUAAUACCGGAUAGGAGCUCCUGCUGCAUGGUGGGGGUUGGAAAGUUUCGGCGGUUGGGGAUGGACUCGCGGCUUAUCAGCUUGUUGGUGGGGUAGUGGCUUACCAAGGCUUUGACGGGUAGCCGGCCUGAGAGGGUGACCGGCCACAUUGGGACUGAGAUACGGCCCAGACUCCUACGGGAGGCAGCAGUGGGGAAUAUUGCACAAUGGGCGGAAGCCUGAUGCAGCAACGCCGCGUGCGGGAUGACGGCCUUCGGGUUGUAAACCGCUUUCGCCUGUGACGAAGCGUUAGUGACGGUAAUGGGUAAAGAAGCACCGGCUAACUACGUG